GAGGAUGUAGCUCAGCAGUAAAAUGCCUGCUUUGCAUGCAGAAGGUCCCAGGUUCAAUGCCCGGCGUCCUCA